rnacentral:lncRNA from 1 species
AGGGUGGUCCUAGGGAUGCAGACAGAGGAGGGGCGCCGAGCAGAGCAGAGAGGGCUGGCACCCUCUCUAGGUGGAACCCAGGUCGUGUGUAAAGUUGGAGGUCUCCCAAGCAGUGCUGAAUUCAAUACAUCUUCUCACGUUCCCUUUCCAGGCACCCUCCAGGGUGCCCUGACUCACCUUCCCUACAGAUGGAGGCAAGGAGACUCCACAGAAAAAACCCCUGCCUGA